GAUCAGACAGCUGAGGAAAUAAAAAGAUUGGCAGCAUUAAAAGAAAAUCCAUCUGUCAAGAAGUUAAAAAGUACUCAUAUGCUCAGGCAAUGGAGGUGAGUUUGUGGAACAAUACUUCCAGGUUUGGUUACAUCGAAAGGAAAUAAAAUAUGAUUUGAUUCCAUCCAAGAUACCACAGUACAAUGGAGUUGCUGAGAGGAAGAACAAAUUCAACAUAGAGAUGACAAGGGAACUUAUGAUGGAUUAAGAAUUUAGACUUUGGAACGUAGGCCACGUAUUUGAAUGCGUAGAACAAAAUUCGAGAAGGAAAUUGGAAGUGUCAAUGGAUGAAAGGGUCAAGAUGGAUAUCAAUUUUAGAAAUUUAUAGUGAUCUUCAUGCUGUAAUCUCAAAGUUUAUAUGAACGUUCAAUGAAAGAACCAAGAAAUAUAGAAAAGUACAAACACGAUUGGUUAACAAACAAUGUGUAGGUACAAAAUCUGAUAGUUUCAACCAGAGAGGAGAUCUUAUUAAUUGAGGUACCAACAUGUACAUCAAGUCAUGAAAUAUGGGUAAAAUUCAACAAUAUCUAUGAUAAGGAUAAUAACAGAAAAGAUAUUCCGUUACAAAGGAAUUUUUCAUGUAUAAAUAUAAAUUUGAACGUGAUAUUAUAAUACACAUUGCGUGUCAGUCCGAAAUAAGAAAAGGGAAUAGAUAAUCUCAAAACUGAAUUGACUGCAAAGGAAGCAAGGGGAAAAGCAGGUCUGCAGCCUUCAAACCUCAAGAGAAGAGGUGUUUCAAGUACAAUUCCAUUAGACAUCUUGCAUAUGAUUAAGAGGAAAAGACGAGGUUUAAGACGUAUACUCUCCACGUGGGACAUGUAAGAAGUCCAAUUAUUUGGAAAAAAUCAUUCUGAUAUAUGUGUUGGCCUAUGGAACUGGAGACAUGGAACAGAAAUAGGUAUGUGAUGAUAGUCUUAGAUUUUACUAAUUUUGUGAGGAUUUCUGUUAUGGAAUCAAAUACUGAUGCAUGACAAAAAUUGUAUAAGUAUGUUACAGCAGUAGGAGCAAAGUGGAAUAACAUACAGAUUUAGAUGCGAUAAUGGAAGCAGGAGGGGUUACCAGUCGAAAAUUCAAGAAUUGGUGAAGACAGAUAGUAAUUAUACUAGAUUAUACGACACUGUAUACACCUCAACUGAAUGGAAAGACUUAAUCGAACAUUACUGAAUAAAACACGAGCAUUCCUGUAGGACUGAAAUGGAAAGGAAAUUGUGGA